rnacentral:rRNA from 1 species
GUACACAAAAAUGCACAUAUUGUGAGCUCGAUGAGUAGGGCGGGACACGUGGUAUCCUGUCUGAAUAUGGGGGGACCAUCCUCCAAGGCUAAAUACUCCUGACUGACCGAUAGUGAACCAGUACCGUGAGGGAAAGGCGAAAAGAACCCCGGCGAGGGGAGUGAAAAAGAACCUGAAACCGUGUACGUACAAGCAGUGGGAGCCUCUUUAUGGGGUGACUGCGUACCUUUUGUAUAAUGGGUCAGCGACUUAUAUUCUGUAGCAAGGUUAACCGAAUAGGGGAGCCGAAGGGAAACCGAGUCUUAACUGGGCGUUAAGUUGCAGGGUAUAGACCCGAAACCCGGUGAUCUAGCCAUGGGCAGGUUGAAGGUUGGGUAACACUAACUGGAGGACCGAACCGACUAAUGUUGAAAAAUUAGCGGAUGACUUGUGGCUGGGGGUGAAAGGCCAAUCAAACCGGGAGAUAGCUGGUUCUCCCCGAAAGCUAUUUAGGUAGCGCCUCGUGAAUUCAUCUCCGGGGGUAGAGCACUGUUUCGGCAAGGGGGUCAUCCCGACUUACCAACCCGAUGCAAACUGCGAAUACCGGAGAAUGUUAUCACGGGAGACACACGGCGGGUGCUAACGUCCGUCGUGAAGAGGGAAACAACCCAGACCGCCAGCUAAGGUCCCAAAGUCAUGGUUAAGUGGGAAACGAUGUGGGAAGGCCCAGACAGCCAGGAUGUUGGCUUAGAAGCAGCCAUCAUUUAAAGAAAGCGUAAUAGCUCACUGGUCGAGUCGGCCUGCGCGGAAGAUGUAACGGGGCUAAACCAUGCACCGAAGCUGCGGCAGCGACACUAUGUGUUGUUGGGUAGGGGAGCGUUCUGUAAGCCUGUGAAGGUGGCCUGUGAGGGUUGCUGGAGGUAUCAGAAGUGCGAAUGCUGACAUAAGUAACGAUAAAGCGGGUGAAAAGCCCGCUCGCCGGAAGACCAAGGGUUCCUGUCCAACGUUAAUCGGGGCAGGGUGAGUCGACCCCUAAGGCGAGGCCGAAAGGCGUAGUCGAUGGGAAACAGGUUAAUAUUCCUGUACUUGGUGUUACUGCGAAGGGGGGACGGAGAAGGCUAUGUUGGCCGGGCGACGGUUGUCCCGGUUUAAGCGUGUAGGCUGGUUUUCCAGGCAAAUCCGGAAAACCAAGGCUGAGGCGUGAUGACGAGGCACUACGGUGCUGAAGCGACAAAUGCCCUGCUUCCAGGAAAAGCCUCUAAGCAUCAGGUAACAUCAAAUCGUACCCCAAACCGACACAGGUGGUCAGGUAGAGAAUACCAAGGCGCUUGAGAGAACUCGGGUGAAGGAACUAGGCAAAAUGGUGCCGUAACUUCGGGAGAAGGCACGCUGAUAUGUAGGUGAAGCGACUUGCUCGUGGAGCUGAAAUCAGUCGAAGAUACCAGCUGGCUGCAACUGUUUAUUAAAAACACAGCACUGUGCAAACACGAAAGUGGACGUAUACGGUGUGACGCCUGCCCGGUGCCGGAAGGUUAAUUGAUGGGGUUAGCGGCAACGCGAAGCUCUUGAUCGAAGCCCCGGUAAACGGCGGCCGUAACUAUAACGGUCCUAAGGUAGCGAAAUUCCUUGUCGGGUAAGUUCCGACCUGCACGAAUGGCGUAAUGAUGGCCAGGCUGUCUCCACCCGAGACUCAGUGAAAUUGAACUCGCUGUGAAGAUGCAGUGUACCCGCGGCAAGACGGAAAGACCCCGUGAACCUUUACUAUAGCUUGACACUGAACAUUGAGCCUUGAUGUGUAGGAUAGGUGGGAGGCUUUGAAGUGUGGACGCCAGUCUGCAUGGAGCCGACCUUGAAAUACCACCCUUUAAUGUUUGAUGUUCUAACGUGGGCCCCUAAUCGGGGUUGCGGACAGUGUCUGGUGGGUAGUUUGACUGGGGCGGUCUCCUCCUAAAGAGUAACGGAGGAGCACGAAGGUUGGCUAAUCCUGGUCGGACAUCAGGAGGUUAGUGCAAUGGCAUAAGCCAGCUUGACUGCGAGCGUGACGGCGCGAGCAGGUGCGAAAGCAGGUCAUAGUGAUCCGGUGGUUCUGAAUGGAAGGGCCAUCGCUCAACGGAUAAAAGGUACUCCGGGGAUAACAGGCUGAUACCGCCCAAGAGUUCAUAUCGACGGCGGUGUUUGGCACCUCGAUGUCGGCUCAUCACAUCCUGGGGCUGAAGUAGGUCCCAAGGGUAUGGCUGUUCGCCAUUUAAAGUGGUACGCGAGCUGGGUUUAGAACGUCGUGAGACAGUUCGGUCCCUAUCUGCCGUGGGCGCUGGAGAACUGAGGGGGGCUGCUCCUAGUACGAGAGGACCGGAGUGGACGCAUCACUGGUGUUCGGGUUGUCAUGCCAAUGGCACUGCCCGGUAGCUAAAUGCGGAAGAGAUAAGUGCUGAAAGCAUCUAAGCACGAAACUUGCCCCGAGAUGAGUUCUCCCUGACUCCUUGAGGGUCCUGAAGGAACGUUGAAGACGACGACGUUGAUAGGCCGGGUGUGUAAGCGCAGCGAUGCGUUGAGCUAACCGGUACUAAUGAACCGUGAGGCUUAACCUUACAACGCCGAAG